UAUCAUCAAACCCCUCGGGUUCGCGCCCGUUGCGGUUUGGAGUUGGGGGCUUGCUGCCGCGAGGCGGCUCCCCUUAAAAUCAUCGGUUUGGCCCGCACCAUGCGGCUUGCACCUUUGGCGUUGUAUUUUCCUCGCCUUCAAUCGGUCUCGCUCGCUUCCGCGCCUCACCUCGACUUGCCCUUUGGGUGGCGGUCACUUCUUGACAAU
rnacentral:misc_RNA from 1 species